rnacentral:rRNA from 1 species
GACGUAGGGUCCAAGCGUUGUCCGGAUUUACUGGGCGUAAAGAGCGCGUAGGCGGCUUGUUAAGUGUGACGUGAAAUCUCCAGGGCUCAACCCGGAAACUGCUUUACAUACUGGCAAGCUGGAGUGAUGCAGAGGUUUGUGGAAUUCCUGGUGUAACGGUGAAAUGUGUUGAUAUCAGGAGGAACACCCAUGGCGAAGGCAGCAAACUGGGCAGCAACUGACGCUGAGGCGCGAAAGCGUGGGUAGCAAACAGG